rnacentral:lncRNA from 1 species
AUCAGAAUGUGCGAGUGUGAGAAAAUACUGAAACGAGGACAAGAAAAUCAGGAACGAGGCGCUUGUCCCCGGAUGAGUCCCCCGCGGAUCCCGGUGAGCAGAGCCUUUGCUGGGAGAACUGUGGGGACUGGUGACCCACAGGUGAGCCGCACGGAGCGCGCAGAACUCGAGGGCACCGCCUGCCUCCUUCCUCCCCUCACUUGCUCUCUGUGGAGAAAAAGAGCAGGGACUGGGCAGAUGUGGGCAAAGGGUUCUGGAACUGCUGGCCUUCUUCUGUUCCUUUGUCUCAAGGCCUGGGUGAGUGGAACAGAUUUAUUUGUGCUGGGAAAACUAUAUGUUACGGUAACCAGCUCCCUCUUUUCAUUUCUUGGCUUCAUCAAGCCAUCAGCCUGUUGGAGUCCAAGGUUUUGGUAAAAAUGCAAAAACAUACUUUCUAUUAUAAUCUGCAAUUUUU